GAGAUUUAAUAAUUUUGGCGGUUAAUUAUUAAUUGGAGGAGCUUGUAUAAUAGUAGAAUUAGCUCUUUAUAUUUAGAUAAUAAAUAAUUUAUUCAUCUCCGUUAUAAAAUAAUAUAAUUGUAAUUUAUAAUUAAAUAAAUGAUUAAUAUAAAAGAUUUCAGGUCAAGAUGUAGUAUUUAUUAUAAUAUAUUAGCUACAUUUAUGUAAUUUAUGGAAUAAUUUAAAUUAAAGGGAUUAAAAGGAAAUUGAAUUUAAUUGUAAUUAUAAUUAAAAUAUUAUGAUGAAUGAAAAUAAUUAAUGUUCAUAUUGCCCGUCACUUCUAUUAAAGGG
rnacentral:rRNA from 1 species